UACGGAGGGGGCUAGCGUUGUUCGGAAUUACUGGCGUAAGACGCGCGUGAGCGGAGUCUGCAAGUCGGGGGGUGAAAUCCCGAGGCUCAACCUCGGAACUGCCUUCGAUACUGCGGGUCUCGAGUCCGGGAGAGGUGAGUGGAAUUCCUAGUGUAGAGGUGAAAAUUCGUAGAUAUUAGGAAGAACACCAGUGGCGAAGGCGGCUCACUGGCCCGGUACUGACGCUGAGGAGCGAAAGCGUGGGGAGCGAACAGG
rnacentral:rRNA from 1 species